rnacentral:piRNA from 1 species
UAUCACACAAAGUCAUCAAGC